rnacentral:rRNA from 1 species
GACGAACGCUGGAGGCGUGCUUAACACAUGCAAGUCGAACGAUGAAAUGGAGCUUGCUCCAUGGAUUAGUGGCGAACGGGUGAGUAACACGUGAAUAACCUGCCCUUAAUUUUGGAAUAACCCAGGGAAACCUGGGCUAAUACCGGAUAAGUAAACCUGUGGCAUCACAUGGUUUUGGAAAGUUUUUCGAUUAAGGAUGGAUUCGCGGCCUAUCAGCUUGUUGGUGAGGUAAUGGCUCAUCAAGGCGACGACGGGUAGCCGGCCUGAGAGGGUGAACGGCCGCACUGGGACUGAGACACGGCCCAGACUCCUACGGGAGGCAGCAGUGGGGAAUAUUGCGCAAUGGACGAAAGUCUGACGCAGCGACGCCUCGUGAGGGACGAAGGUCUUCGGAUUGUAAACCUCUUUCAGCAGGGACGAAGCGAAAGUGACGGUACCUGCAGAAGAAGCACCGGCUAACUAUGUGCCAGCAGCCGCAGUAA